GACGAACGCUGGCGGCGUGCUUAACACAUGCAAGUCGAACGGAAAGGCCCUGCUUUUGUGGGGUGCUCGAGUGGCGAACGGGUGAGUAACACGUGAGUAACCUGCCCUUGACUUUGGGAUAACUUCAGGAAACUGGGGCUAAUACCGGAUAGGAGCUCCUGCUGCAUGGUGGGGGUUGGAAAGUUUCGGCGGUUGGGGAUGGACUCGCGGCUUAUCAGCUUGUUGGUGGGGUAGUGGCUUACCAAGGCAUUGACGGGUAGCCGGCCUGAGAGGGUGACCGGCCACAUUGGGACUGAGAUACGGCCCAGACUCCGACGGGAGGCAGCAGUGGGGAAUAUUGCACAAUGGGCGGAAGCCUGAUGCAGCAACGCCGCGUGCGGGAUGACGGCCUUCGGGUUGUAAACCGCUUUCGCCUGUGACGAAGCGUGAGUGACGGUAAUGGGUAAAGAAGCACCGGCUAACUACGUG
rnacentral:rRNA from 1 species